GCGCUUGUCUGUGAUAACCUUGUGCCGAUCGCACAUCCCCGUGACAGCGACAAAGCAUUCGGAUGUCUGCCCUAUCAACUUUCGAUGCAAUUUUCCGUGCCUACCAUGGUGACCACGGAUAAUGGGGAAUCAGGAUUCAAUUCCAGAGAGGGAGCCUGAGAAACGGCUACCACAUGCAAGGAAGGCAACAGGUGCGCAAUUACCCACUCCCGACGCGGGGAGGUAGUGACAACAAAUAACAAUACACUACUCUUUCGAGGCCCUGUAAUUGUAAUGAGUCCACUUUAAAUCCUUUAACUUGGAUCAAUUGGAGGGCAAGUCUGGUGCAGAGCGACUGGCCCGUGAGUGC